CACACAAGGUGUGUGCUACGAUCGAACAGGAGAAAGGAAAAAGGGGGUGUGAACCCUAAACCUCAAGAAAUCAUCAAAUUGAAAAGGGAAUCAAGGGCUGAUUGUAUGCAUGAACCAAGGAUGAUGAUCCCUUAAGCAUUUCUAACAUCAACGUAGGAGCCAUGUCAACAUGGACACGAGCAUGGAAGGGCAAUGGGUCAACGGUAAAUACGGAAGCUAUGCAUGAACUCGGACGCACGAGGUAGCGUUAGUUAAUUGAGCAUGGUGAUAAUUGAAGUUUGAUAUGGUUUUGGUUGUAUGAAAUCGGUAAUUUUAGCUAAGUAGACCGAACGGGACAAUAUAAAGUUGUAAUGAUAUGACAGAUUGAUGUAAUGCUACGGUAUUGUAAUCGGGUAAUGGGUAGAAUUGCACAUAAGUGCGCCAACCGAGAAUGGGGACUUAGGUUAAUGGUCAAAAGACUUAGCUUUUGACCUUAAAUAAAAGAAUGGUUUAACAAAAUACGAACAGGUCGAAUAAAUGUGCAUAAACUUCAUAAUGCUAAUGAAAUGCGUAAAGAUUAAGGACCCGGGUAAGGGCGUUUAGCCCAUAAUGUAAGGACAAGUCUUACGGACAACUAGAAAUAAUUGUGAGCAAUUUGAUUGAGGAAUGUCUGAGAUACGCAAGUUUUAAUAAUAAAAAUAUGAAUGGGUUGAAUAGUCGAAACGAGUAUGUAGAGCCGAAGGCUUUAAGUUAAGAUUUUUCCUUGUUUGGAUGUUAUAUUACAAGCUCAUAUGUUAGAAAAUCGAUUUACCAACGCAUAGGAAAAAGAAUCAUGUUAAUCGGAUUCGUAGAUCAAAAGUUAUGCAAAUUGUAAGUCGAAAAUACCCUUGGAAUUCAUAGCUGGGAAUUUACAGCAGCAAAUUGGAAGUUUCUGUCGAAAUAGAGCUGUCGCGCCCCGCGAGCGCCAGUCAGCUGGCAAAUUUUGGUUUUCUUGUUUGAUUUUGCAUCCGGACUCGAUGUUUUAAUGAUUUUCGAUGUCCCUUAACUUAUAUUAAAGCCGGUUUGAAUCACGAGUGAUGUUAUGAGCCUCCGGAUAAUGAAAGUAUGUAUUUUUCUUCGUGUUAGAGAAGAAAGAUUAUAAGUAAUCGAGACUAGAAAUGAGUGGGCAUGCAGUAUGGUAAGUAUAAAACUUAUAUCAUGGAAGUUGCGAUUAUGAUAAGAAAUGCGAGAUUAAGUGAAUAAAAGUAGUAAGCGAGGGCUCGCGUCUAUGUGUGUGUAUGUGAAUGUGUGCGUAUGUAUGUAGGUGUAUAUGUUGUAUGUAUGUAGGAAUUAGGAACGUAUACGUUUGUGGAUGCGAGAUGUUAUAAGUAUAUGAAGGAAUGGUUUGGACUGGUUUCAUUAUGUUCUAGCAUUAAUGUUUGCUAAUCGUGUGUUUGAGAUUGGAAUGAAAUGCAGGUAAAUGAACACCGGGUUCAUGAAGUAUCGAAGUCGAAUUCGGAACAAGAAAAUACGAAAGGAUAGUUGAAUGAAUUAAAGUUCCUACUGUUAAAUUUUAUUCAAUAUUGGACUAUAUGAGAAUCAUGUCGUAUGAUAUUGUUAAUGACUAAUGGUUAUGAUGUAUGCGAUGUCCACAGGUAUUGCACGGAUUACCGCUACUACUACCGAAGAUAAGCAAGCGUUGAUCGAGUCACGGAGCAAGGGUUGUACGGAAAUAUGUAUUGUCUUGAAGCGUUAAUUUAAUGUGGUUAUUGUAAAUCCCUUUUGUAAAUGUUUAUCAUUUGUAUUUGAGCCUUCAAGUAAGUAAUGUGUCUAAAUAAGAAAGAAAUUUUUUGGGCUCGUAUUUUUCCGCUGUGUCAUAUUUAAGUUCUUACAAGUUGGUCUUACAGGGAAUCGUUCAUUAUACGAACGGGUCAUGCCCGAAUUUUGUAAAUAAUAAUACUUAUUUUGGAGUAAGAAAUAUGGGCGUUACAUUAUAUUGAUGCAAAUUUAAAUCCUCUUGAUUUUGUUAAAAUUGAAAAUUGUGUAAAGCUGAAAUCUGAAAAUGACAAACUGUUAAGUAACUUGAACAGUUUGACAUUGGAAAACCAGAAGUUGAAAGAAAAUGCAAAGAAUUUU
rnacentral:lncRNA from 1 species